UUGAAUGAUGAUAAAUUGAUAAUGUUGCUUGAAAUGGCUUAACUGCUUUUGUGUGAGCACAAUGAUUUCUCAAUAGACUACAACGGUAUCUGAUC
rnacentral:snoRNA from 1 species